UAGAUGACUAUAAAUGUGGCUGGUUUUAAGCACAAACACAAAUACAGUUGCUAACUCCGGCGAGGGGUGGGCGGCGGGGUAUAAAGGGGAGCGCCGCUCACCCCCACUCACUCGCUAGCUAGUAGGGGGACGGUUUUCUUCAUUUUCGAAGAAUUAGCAACGAUGGGUGAUGAAAAUUUACCAGCCUUGGUCUGCGACAAUGGUUCAGGGAUUGUCAAGGCUGGCUUCGCUGGCGACGACGCUCCCCGAGCUGUCUUCCCUUCCAUCGUCGGCCGACCCCGUCACCAGGGUGUGAUGGUGGGCAUGGGUCAGAAAGACGCGUAUGUCGGCGACGAGGCCCAGAGCAAACGAGGUAUUCUGACCCUGAAAUAUCCUGUUGAACACGGAAUUAUCACCAACUGGGACGAUAUGGAGAAAAUCUGGCACCACACCUUCUACAACGAACUCCGCGUUGCCCCUGAGGAGUCUCCCGUUCUUCUCACAGAGGCUCCAUUGAAUCCCAAGGUCAACCGAGAAAAUAUGACAAGAAUUAUGUUCGAGACAUUUAACGUACCUGCAUCGUACAUUGCCAUCCAAGCUAUCCUUUCUUUAUAUGCUUCUGGCCGCACCACUGGUAUCGUGUUGGAUUCUGGUGACGGCGUCACGCACACGUGUCCCAUAUUUGAAGGCUACGUACUGCCGCACGCCAUGCAUCGCCUUGAUAUGGCUGGCCGCGACUUGACCCACUACUUGACCAAGAUCUUGACAGAGCGAGGCUACUCCUUCUCCACUACCGCCGAACGAGAGAUCGUACGUGACAUCAAGGAGAAGCUCUGUUAUGUUGCUCUUGACUUCGAAAAUGAAAUGGAAAUUUCUAAAACAUCCCUAACUUUAGAAAAGGCUUAUGAGCUACCUGACGGCCAAGUAAUAACUGUUGGAAACGAGAGGUUCCGCUGCCCUGAGGCAGUCUUCCAGCCUUCCUUUCUGGGGAUGGAAUGUGUUGGCCUCCACGAAUUAGUUCACCAGUCUAUCAUGCGAUGCGACAUUGACAUCAGAAAAGAUCUCUUCUCCAACAUUGUCAUGUCUGGCGGGACCAGCAUGUACCCAGGGAUUCCAGACCGCAUGCAGAAGGAAAUAACAUUCCUUGCACCUUCGACAAUAAAUGUUAAAAUUGUCGCUCCUCCAGAGAGGAAGUACUCAGUCUGGAUCGGAGGUUCCAUCCUGAGCUCCCUCUCCACCUUCCAGUCGUUCUGGAUCACUAAGUCAGAAUAUGAGGAGUUCGGACCUGGAAUCAUCCACAGAAAGUGUUACUAACUUAGAUCAAUCAGCUAAUUACCAUAAUAUUAUUUUUAUUAAAUGAGUAUAUUUUUGUGGCAAUUUCCUAUCAUUAACCUACGUACACAAGUUCAUUGACUUCGGAAAAUGAAACUCAAGUAGUAGUAGUGUAAGAUGAGCCUCUUCGCAGCACACAACACUGGCUGCGACAAAACGUCAGACCCCCAAUUCAGUACAUUCAAGAAGCAAACAAAACAAGUCUAACACACCUAAACAAAAAAGUUUUAUGAAGUCAAGAAGAAAUCAAGAAUAAUAUAUCUUCCCCCGCAAGAAAUACGAUGACAGAACUCAACCAAGGUGAAGCACAAACACAACGUCACAGCAUCGUCGAUGAGGUAAGCGAGAAUGUGAAGAACUCAGCCAUUUGAUGUAUGGUAGGCGAACCUUGAGACAUAUUUAUAUCGCAAAGGAGCACAUCAUCUCACCCACGCACCUGCUGCUAGGAAUAUCUUCCUAAUACGACAACUCGAGUCAUUACUUCGUGUAGCGGAUGUGUGAGAAGACUAAGGAGAGACACUAUAACGAACAUGGACGAAGAAGCAACUCCCCUUGUGGUCGACAAUGGCUCCGGGAUGGUUAAGGCCGGUUUCGGCGGUGAUGAUGCCCCACGUUCUGUAUUCCCCUCCAUCGUCGGCCGCCCUCGUCACCAGGGUGUGAUGGUGGGCAUGGGUCAGAAGGAUGCCUACGUCGGCGACGAGGCCCAGAGCAAGCGAGGUAUCCUGACUCUCAAGUACCCCAUUGAGCACGGCAUCAUCACCAACUGGGAUGACAUGGAGAAGAUCUGGCACCACACUUUCCACAACGAACUUCGCGUUGCUCCUGAGGAAUCCCCUGUCCUUCUUACUGAGGCUCCCCGCAACCCAAAGGCCAACCGUGAGAAGAUGACUCAAAUUAUGAUAGAAACUUUCGGUACUCCAGCGAUGUACGUGGCCAUCCAAGCUGUUCUGUCCUUGUACGCCUCUGGCCGUACCACUGGUAUCGUGCUCGAUACUGGCGACGGUGUUUCUCAUAUGGUGCCGAUAUGGGAAGGCUAUUGCCUUCCUCAUGCAAUCAAUCGUCUUGACCUGGCUGGCCGUGAUUUGACUGCUUACCUCAUGAAGAUAUUAACUGAGCGUGGCUACUCCUUCACCACCACAGCUGAGCGAGAAAUCGUUCGUGACAUGAAGGAGAAGCUUUGCUAUGUCGCUCUUGACUUCGAGAGUGAGAUGAACGUGGCUGCUGCCUCAUCCUCCCUAGAGAAGUCCUACGAGCUUCCCGACGGUCAGGUCAUCACUAUUGGAAAUGAACGCUUCCGCUGUCCUGAGGCUCUAUUCCAGCCUUCCUUCCUCGGUAUGGAAUCUUGUGGCAUCCACGAGACCGUCUACAAUACCAUCAUGAGGUGCGACAUUGAUAUCAGGAAGGACCUGUUCGCCAACAAUGUGCUGUCUGGCGGCACCACCAUGUAUCCUGGUAUUGCUGACCGAAUGCAGAAGGAAAUCACUUCCCUUGCUCCUCCCACCAUCAAGAUCAAGAUCAUUGCUCCUCCUGAGCGCAAGUACUCUGUAUGGAUCGGCGGCUCCAUCCUGGCUUCCCUCUCCACCUUCCAGACCAUGUGGAUCACCAAGGAAGAAUACGAUGAGUCUGGUCCCGCAAUUGUCCACCGCAAGUGCUUCUAAAAUGUAUCUAUCUUAUUUCUAUUAUAUAUUCAGAGGUUUAUAUAAAGAAGAAUAUCUUUUGUAUACGAAAUAAUAAAAGAAAACAUAU